GGCGCCCUCUCGGCAAACGCCGCCACCAAGGGUGGUCGCUCCUCUGCUUCAUCCAGGGCUCCUUCGGGGCAGUCACCACCACCCGCCUCGGCCCCUCCUCCUACUGCGACGCUACCAGGGGCUGGCGGUCCACGUGUGUGCCAGCUUUGUGGUCGCGAUGGGCACUGGGCCUCGAAGUGUCACAAGCGCUUCCAGCGGGGUUUUCUUGGUCUCGGCAAUGACGGGAAGGAUACACGCAACUUUGCUCGUCAGGUCGCCAUGGCUGAUCGUCCGCCGCCGCAGAAGCCACAGGGACACACUCAGUCCUACUCCAUUGAUCCCCACUGGUACAUGGACUCUGGGGCGACAGAGCACCUGACCAGUGAGAUGGGGAAGCUUCACACUCGUGAACCCUACCAUGGUUCCGACAAGAUCCACACCGCCAAUGGAGCAGGUAUGCACAUCUCUCAUAUUGGUCAAGCAUCACUUCUCACUAGACAUGCCAAUAGGAGUCUUCAACUUCGCAAUGUUCUUCGAGUUCCAUCUGUGACACGUAAUCUUCUUUCAGUUCCUAAACUCACUCGUGAUAAUAAUGUGCUUUGUGAAUUUCAUCCUUUUGAUCUUUUUAUUAAGGAUCGGGGCACGAGGGACAUUCUUCUUAGUGGGCGGCUCUGCCAAGGUCUCUAUCGUCUGGAGCAUCCUGGCGUCGCUCGCGUCUUCAGUGGAGUUCGGGUAUCUCCGUCACAGUGGCAUGCUCGUCUUGGUCACCCGGCCACACCUAUUGUCCGGCAUGUUUUGCGUCGUCAUGAGCUUCCUAGUGUGUCUAGUAAUAAAGAUGUAGCAGUGUGUGAUGCUUGUCAGCAGGGGAAGAGUCAUCAACUUCCUUUUUCGGAGUCCAGUUGUGAGGUGAAACAUCCUUUAGAACUUGUGUUUUCAGAUGUAUGG
rnacentral:rRNA from 1 species